rnacentral:lncRNA from 1 species
AACAAAAUACCUAGCUAUAUAUUCCAUAGCACCUCCCUAAUUUAUCCGGCCCGUAUCCCAGAAACAUUAGCAAGGUAUACGGCAGCGUUUGCUCGCAGUUGGCCCUAGUAUUGCAGCGAGAACGAGCAAAAUGGAAGCCCUGGGGAUUGGAAACGAUGGCGAGCGCGGCGGCCGUCGACAGCUGAAUCAAUUCCAGAAGUUUUGGGCCACGGUUGGGUUUCUUACCAUGGUUUUCUCGGUGAGCGGCAUCCUCUGGUCUCCUUCCUUGGAGCAUGGGCUCGUUUCGACCAUGCAUCUCUUCUUCUUAUACAUGCUAUUGGUGCUGGGGUCGGGGUUGGUUCUGCUCUCAGUGAUGCUUCCUGUAGCCGAAGGAGUGGUCCGGCCUGCCACGUUGGUGGCACUCGCCUUGUUCUGUCUCUUCUUUGGAGGUCACGAUGAAUUUUUUCCUUUCGUCUAAGAGUCUUUUCUGAUGCCGUUCUCACUCUGAUCGGGUCUGUUUUAGAUCUCUGUGAUCAUUAUCUUGUAUUUGCAUGUGGUUUAUGUCCGCAGCUUAUGUUUGAUGUCUCAUAAUUAUGGUUUGCGUGUUUUGUCUUAAGACGGAAAUGAUAUAUGUGAUCAUCCUUUUCUAUUUCCUCUGUAAAUGACCGAAACUGUAUAACAGGUUGAUGAGUGCGCC